UUUCUUACUGCACAUGGUGUAGAAAAAUACCUAGUUGCAAAUAAUAUCUAGGGGAUUUGUUUACAUCAAUAGACAAUGAUCUGGAUGAGAAAUAAAUGAGAAGAUUUUAUUCCUUUUUCUGUUAUGUUGAUAUUUUUCUAUUCAAACUUUUUCGGUCAAAAUCAUAUUUCUAGUUACUAUUUACAGGUUUAUGCAAUUUAUAAAUACAUCAUUUUUAUGGUCAACUAAUGGACAUUAAACUAAAUCUCAGAAAUAUAAAAAAUUUGUUUGGUAAGAAACUGAGUAUUUUUUUUUUGAAAGUUUAUAUGGGUUCUUUCAGAUUGAUGGUUACUUUCACUCUUGUUGCUAUGGCGGUCAUUUCAUGUGAUCUUUUCAAUCUUGAAACGGGGAUCUUUGUGCAAGCUGCGGGUCCGAUAUGUGGACAAGUUUGUUCUGAAAAAUUUGAAGAUGAAAAAUGCUAUAAAUAUUGUGUAGGAUUGUCUUAUAAAAACGGUUUUUGCUUUCAAUCCGAUCCUAAAACUUCUACACUUCACUGUUGUUGUGCAAACGAAUAAAAUAUGUAAUAUGUCCUCUCUCAUCAAAUAUGUUGUGUCCUCAAGUCUUUAACUAUGGUGUUCUCUUUUUCGGUGGAAAAAGAUCAAAUAAGUGUGAACG